CACGAGGGACAGCACAGAAUAUACCCAAACUGAGAGCCACAAUGGUCUCAAAUAGUCAAGAUGCCCUGCUGGGAGGAGCUUCUAUUCCUGCUCUGUGGAAGAACUGGGCAUGCCAGAUGCCCAGAAGAGCCAAAGAAAAUUUAUUUGAAGUGAGCCCUUUGAAUUUGACCCAUCUUUCACUAGGAUCCACAGAUGGUGAAAUAUUAAUGAACAGGUGGGUUGUACGAUAUUCCAAGAUUGCAUUAGAAUUGACCUUUUUAGGCUAAAUUAUUAACCCCAGAGUUGCUGACAUAUAUUUUCAUAUGAUUAGCAAACCCAAAAGCCUUAAUAUCAACACAGACUACUUUCAGAACUAUCAAACACAACAUCUACUUUGCUGGGAAUAGAAUACUAGGUAAAGGAAUUGAGAUCUCACAUAAUACUCCUCUGAAAAUAGGAACAGCUAACUUUGUAAUGGAUUGCCAGCAAAAGCUGUGACAAUACUUACUCUGGACGUCUCUAAAUUUCUUUUCAACCUGAAAAGCAUGUUUCAUGAUAUUCACUGGAGUAAGAGGGGAUGGAAGAGGUAGAAUAGUUCCUUAAGUCACAUCUCUAAAUAGAACAAAUCUUGGGAUCCCCCAAAGUUCAGUCUAUGUAUGGAAUUACCUUUAAAGAGGCAAUAUCUACUGGCUAAAUGAUAGCUAAAAUUGUUCCAGUCAUGACUUGGACCUCUCAAAGAUCAUUAUUUAAGUAAUGCUUCUAUUCUUUUCUUCCUGUUCAGUGUUUCCUGAACUUCCCCUGUAUGGAUGCUCUUGCUUACCUAAGCCUUUUCUUCAGCCUCUUCUCCAUACCUGGACAAUUCAAUACACUGCAUGACCUUGCUUAGAUUUUGAUUUGAGCAAACCAACUUUUUUUCUUCUUCUUUCUUCCUUCUCCUUCUCUUCCUCCUCCUGCUCCUCCUCUUCCUCCUUUUUCACCUUUCCUUCCUCUUCCUCCUCUUCAUUCUUCCCCUUCCCUUUUCCCUUCCCUCCUCCUCCAUCUUUCUUCUUCCUUCUUUGAGACAGCAUCUCUCUCUGUUACCCAGGAUGAAUGCAGUGGCACGAUCAUAGCUCACUGCAGCCUCAAUCUCCCGAGCUCAAGUGAUUCUCCCGCCUCAAUCUCCCCAAGUAGCUGGUACCACAGGCACUCAAUACCACGCCUAAUUAAUUUUUAUGUUUUUUCUAGAGACAAGGUUUCACCAUGUUGCCUAGGCUGAUCUAAAACUUCUGAGCUCAAAAGUGAUCUGCCUGCCUUGGCCUCCCAAAGUACUGGGAUUACAGGCAUGAGCCACUGCACCUGGCCUCAAAUCAUCUUCAGUGCAACACUUUGAAGACAAUGCAGGAAAUCUGAGUUUGGAGCAUGUAUUAGAUGAUAUCAAUAACUUAUUGUUAGUUUUGAUAGGUGUGAUUAAUGGCAUUGUGGUUAUGUAAGAAAACAUCACUAUUUUUAGCAAGGAACACUUACAUAGAGAAAGGUGAAAUGACACAAUUCUGGGAUUCACUUAUCAUACAUCAGGCAAAAUAAAGGAGGAAGGAAGGAAAAAUAUAUGGAAGUAAAAGAAAAAUGCUGAUAAUUCUGGAAUUUAAGUGAUUGAUAUUUGAAGUUCAAUACUAUAUUCUCUAUUUUUGUAUGUGUUUGAAAUUUUUCCUAUUUUCUAAGAAAAUUUUCUUUGAUAUUUUUUAAAAGAAUUUUUAAAAUAUUUUCAAAAGAGAGAAAGAAGGACUGGCAUGGUGGACUACACCUACAAUCUCAACAGUUUGAGAGGCCAAGGCAGGCGGAUUACUUGAGGUCAGGAGUUUGAGACCAUCCUGGCCAACAUGAUGAAAUCCCAUCUCUACUAAAAAUACAAAAAUCAGCCAGGCAUUUUUGCACAUGCCUGAAGUCCAAGAGACUCUCGAACCCAGGAGGUAGAGGUUGCAGUGAGCUGAGAUUGCACCACUGCACUCCAGCCUGGGUGACAGAGCGAGACCUUGUCUCAAAAAAAAAAAAAAAAAAAAAAAGACAGAGAGAAAGAGAAAAGUAAAUGCAAAUAUACUCAGAACAUCAUACGAAAAGGCAAAACUUAAUCAGAGAAAUAUAUUUUAGAACAACAAUAAAGGAGAAUUUUGUCGAUAGAUAAUAAGAGCAACUUUUUUGAGUGCCAUUUAUGAAACCGUCAGGUCAGCAGUGUAGUAUGAGGUAUAUUUCAAUGCAAAAUAUUAAAAUUAUAAAAGCAUGAUUAUGCACACAAACGUUUCAAGCCUUUAUAAUUUUUAAAGACUUAAUGACAUAAGCCCAUUUAUAAAAAAUUUUCUGAAUUUAUAUUACAAUUUAAACUAGCAAUAUUCUAUUAAUUACCUUUUAAAAUUCAUAAGGAAAGAAGUUGGUUAAAAAAACACUCUUGAACUGAGUAAAAAUAGCAGCACAAAGUGAGGUUUAGCUCUGGGGAGAAGGGAAGUUGUGCUAAAACUUUUCAAAGUGGUAUUUAACCUCAGACUUUGUCAACAUGGCUUUCUGUAAGGAUGCAUGGCUUUCUGUAAGGAUGCAUGGCUUUCUGUAAGGAUGCAUGGCUUUCUUCCCACACUCCUGCUCUGUGGCCAGUGUCUGGAGAAAAGUAUUGCUACUCCUAAAGGAGCUUUUGAAAGCAGCAUAGUUUAUGAAAGAAGCCUCCAUUGGAAACCAAAACCUUUCUCAGGGUAUUCAAAGAGUUUGAAGAGAACUGAUAUGUGAAGAAGGAAAUCCUUGCAUUUGUGAUGACAUGGAUGAACCUGAAAAACGUUAUGCUACGUGAGAUAAACCAGUCGCAGCAAGACAAAUACUGCCUGAUCUCAUGUAUAUGUGGAAUCUAAAAUAGUUAAUCUCAUAGAAGCAGGGAGUAGGAUGGAGGUUGUCAGGGCUGGGGUGUAGAGGAAGUGAGAAGAUGUUGGUAAAAGGGUACAAAGCUUCAGCCAUGCAAGAGGAGUUAGUUCUGAAGACCUAACAUACGGCAUUAGGGCAACAGUUAAUCAUAAUGUAUUGUAGACUUGAAAUUUGCUACAAGGUGUAUCUUAAGUGUUUUCACCACAAAAGAAAAGAGGCAACUAUGUGAGGUGAUGGAUAAGUCAACUAGUUUGAUUGCAGUGAUCAUUUUUCAAUGUAUACAUAUAUCAAAACAUCAAGUCAUAUGUAGGGCUGAUGGCCCCACAGGGUCGUGGGGUGAGCCUUAUGCUGCGCAGGAUCCGAGAAAUAAAGAGACAGGACACAGAAGUACAAGAAAAACACAGCUGGGCUAGGGGGGCCACGCCAUCUAUAAGCAGAGUCAGGCGAGGCCCCGAAUGUCCAGAAGCAUAAGUAUUUAUUGUGUAUAGGUUAGGGGGCAGGGCAGUGAGUGAAAUCAUCUUUAAGGAUAGUGAUAGGGUUGUGAGCAAUACAACAUGGGGUCCACCCCCAUUAGGUCACCUAGGCCAGGAGGUGGACAGUGCACAGCAAGGGGCCCAUUCCCAUGAAGGCAAGGGCCGUGCGCAGUAAGGGGUCCACCCCCAUUAGGUCACCGAGGUUUGAAGGUGGGCCGUGCGUGCUGUGCAAUAUUUCUAUCUAUGGUCAAACUACUUCUAAGAAGAUUUAUAGGAGGAUGCUUUAAGUCACAUAGCAGUGACAGAGCUGUCAGUGUUACUGCCACAUUCUGGCAGCUUCCAAUGGUUUCUAUGGGAAGAUGCGUUUCAAGCAGCACAGUAGCAAGAGCUGAUAAAGUUCUCAGUCACCAAGGUGAAUUGCCAUUCUGAGGACAGCCUUCCACAAGAACUGGAGCAAUGUCCUACAACUCCUUUAUCAGGAGGAGUGGCUCUCGCCCCAAGCCUGCCAUACAGCGGGUAUCUUUACGAUACUGAACGCUGCCGCCUGGGCCAUGGAUUCUUGUCCUGGCAUAACUGUUUUUCCCUUAAAUCAUGCUUUGUGCUGUGUCUGCUCUAGGCACUCCUCUGAUUAUAAGCUGCUUAUUCCUUAAUUCAUGCUCUGUACUGUAUCGACUCUAGGCAUUCCUCCGAUUAUGAACUAAGAUAUAAUUAUAGGUAUAUAUGUAGGGAAAUAUUCUUUAGGCACUCAUAAUAUCAACUAUUAUAUGAUUAUAUAUUGAGUAUUAUAUAAAGGAUUAUAUAAAAGGAAAUAGCUGAGUGGUAACACUAUAAAGUGAGAUAUUCCUCAAGCCCUAACUGUGCCAGGGUUCUGCUUAGCUCUCAUUCCUCGGUGCCUAUAUGGGGGGUUACCCACAGUCAUAUAUGUUAAAUAUAUGCAAUUUCUAUUUGUCAGUUAUCCCCUAAUAAAGCUGAAAAAAAGAUUUUUUUAAUAAGAACUGGGCUGGGUGCAGUGGCUCAUGCCUGUAAUCCCAGUACUUUGGGAGGCCGAGGUGGGUGGAUCACCUGAGGUCAGGAGUUCAAGACCAGCCUGACCAACAUGAAGAAACCCUGUCUCUACUGAAAACACAAAAUUAGCUGGGCAUGGUGCCACAUGCCUGUAAUCUCAGCUACUCGGGAGGCUGAGGUAGGAGAAUUGCUUGAACCCAGAAGGCGGAGGUUGUGGUGAGCUGAGAUCGCACCAUUGCACUCCAGCCUGGGAAACAAGAGCAAAACUCUGUCUCAAAAAAACAAAAAAAAAAUGUGAACUGAUGUUUGCAUCCAGUUGCUGCUAAAGGCACAAGUUUUCUUUAAAAACUAUUCAGUGUUUUCCAGCUCUUACA
ensembl:lncRNA